AUACGGAGGGUCCAAGCGUUAUCCGGAAUCAUUGGGUUUAAAGGGUCCGCAGGCGGUCAAUUAAGUCAGAGGUGAAAGCCCAUCGCUCAACGAUGGAACUGCCUUUGAUACUGGUUGACUUGAGUUAUACGGAAGUAGAUAGAAUAAGUAGUGUAGCGGUGAAAUGCAUAGAUAUUACUUAGAAUACCGAUUGCGAAGGCAGUCUACUACGUAUAUACUGACGCUGAGGGACGAAAGCGUGGGUAGCAAACAGGAUUAGAAACCCUAGUAGUCC
rnacentral:rRNA from 1 species